ACUACGGGAGGCAGCAGUGGGGGAUAUUGCACAAUGGGGGGAACCCUGAUGCAGCGACGCCGCGUGGGUGAAGAAGCGCCUCGGCGCGUAAAGCCCUGUCAGCAGGGAAGAAAAUGACGGUACCUGAAGAAGAAGCCCCGGCUAACUACGUGCCAGCAGCCGCGGUAAUACGUAGGGGGCAAGCGUUCUCCGGAUUUACUGGGUGUAAAGGGGGCGCAGACGGCGAUGCAAGCCAGGGGUGAAAGCCCGGGGCCCAACCCCGGGACUGCUCUUGGAACUGCGUGGCUGGAGUGCAGGAGGGGCAGGCGGAAUUCCUGGUGUAGCGGUGAAAUGCGUAGAUAUCAGGCGGAACACCGGUGGCGAAGGCGGCCUGCUGGACUGCAACUGACGUUGAGGCCCGAAAGCGUGGGGAGCAAACAGGAUUAGAUACCCGGGUAGUC
rnacentral:rRNA from 1 species